UGUUAUGGCGGCUGUGCGUGGGACACCCUCGGGUGUGCCGGUCUCCUGUCCGGUCGGCCAACCCGCGUACGGCUGCCACCUUC
rnacentral:antisense_RNA from 1 species